rnacentral:rRNA from 1 species
GUAGCUAUGUGUGGACGGGAUAAGUGCUGAAAGCAUCUAAGCAUGAAGCCCCCCUCAAGAUGAGAUUUCCCAUAGCGCAAGCUAGUAAGAUCCCUGAAAGAUGAUCAGGUUGAUAGGUCAGAGGUGGAAGCACGGCGACGUGUGUAGCUGACUGAUACUAAUCGAUCGAGGACUUAACCA